rnacentral:rRNA from 1 species
UGCCUGUACCAUAACCGACACAGGUUGGUAAGUAGAGUAUACUAAGGGGCGCGAGAUAACUCUCUCUAAGGAACUCGGCAAAAUAACUCCGUAACUUCGGGAGAAGGAGUGCCUUAUUCUUAAGGUUGCAAUAACAAGAUCCAAGCAACUGUUUAUCAAAAACACAGGUCUCCGCUAAGUCGUAAGACGAUGUAUGGGGGCUGACGCCUGCCCAGUGCCAGAAGGUUAAAGAAGUCGGUUAGCAAUAGCAAAGCUGGUAACUGAAGCCCUGGUGAACGGCGGCCGUAACAAUAACGGUCCUAAGGUAGCGAAAUUCCUUGUCGGGUAAGUUCCGACCCGCACGAAAGGCGUAAUGAUUUGGAUGCUGUCUCGGAGAGGGGCUCGGUGAAAUAGACUUGUCUGUGAAGAUGCGGACUACCUGCACCAGGACAGAAAGACCCUAUGAAGCUUUACUGUAACUUGAAAUUGAAAUUGGACUUUAUUCGCGCAGUAUAGGUGGGAGGCGUUGAUUAUAAUCUUGUGGGAUUAUUGGAGCCAUCAGUGAGAUACCACUCUUGUAAUGUUAGAUUUCUAACUUUGAAUCAUUAUCUGGUCAAAGGACAGUUUCAGGCGGGCAGUUUGACUGGGGCGGUCGCCUCCUAAACGGUAACGGAGGCGUACAAAGGUUUCCUCUGAACGGUUAGAAAUCGUAUCUAGAGUGUAAAGGCAUAAGGAAGCUUGACUGUGAGACCUACAAGUCGAGCAGGGACGAAAGUCGGUCUUAGUGAUCUGACGGUACUGAGUGGAAAGGCCGUCACUCAACGGAUAAAAGUUACUCUAGGAUAACAGGCUGAUCUCCCCCAAGAGUUCACAUCGACGGGGAGGUUUGGCACCUCGAUGUCGGCUCAUCGCAUCCUGGGGCGGUAGUACGUCCCAAGGGUUGGGCUGUUCGCCCAUGAAAGCGGUACGCGAGCUGGGUUCAGAACGUCGUGAGACAGUUCGGUCCAUAUCCGGUGUAGGCGCUAGAAUAUUGAGAGGAGCCUUCUUUAGUACGAGAGGACCGAGAAGGACAUACCUCUGGUGUACCAGUUAUCGUGCCAACGGUAAACGCUGGGUAGCUAUGUAUGGAGUGGAUAACCGCUGAAAGCAUCUAAGUGGGAAGCCCACCUCAAGAUAAGUAUUCUCAUCACGUAAGUGAGUAAGGUCACGGUAAGACUAACCGUUUGAUAGGCAUUAAGUGUAAGUACAGUAAUGUAUGUGCUGAGAUGUCCUAAUAGACCGAGGAC